AGUUCUCUCAGCUACUCCUCAUAAGACCUGUGAUCCAGACCCUUCAUCAGCUUCAUUGCCCUUCCCUGGACAUGCUCCAUCAUACCUCAAUGGCUUGUGU